rnacentral:rRNA from 1 species
AAACCUGCGAAACUCGAAUGAACGAACGGAGAGAUUCAUCGUCAAUCCUCGGCGUACGUCAUCACGCUCUGAUGAGGCGUCCGUCCCUGUAAAAGGGGAUAGCGGGCCUCACGGGCCGGUGGGGUGUCGACGUUCGGGGACGGCGUGCACUUCUCUYUUARUAAUGCAUCGCGACCCGUUCGAUGUCGGUMUAAGCGCCGUUCGGGAGCCCAUUCGUCGCCUGUAAAAGGGUAACGGUUGGACCGUGACGGUUGCCGMCCGGCCGUCGGACGGUAGAAGACACGAAUCGCGCACGCGCAAUUUCUAAUUUAAGCGCGUCCGGCCCGACGCAAGACAACGUCGUAAUUCCGAGGUCCUGCCGUUGUGCGGACAUCGGUGCGGCGCUGCUGUUGUCGCUGCCGUGCAGUCUCGGACCGUGCGCGUCUCAGUCGGCGAUGAUUCAGUUUCGGGCACUCGCAGGAC